AUUAUUUUUAAUUUAGUGCUUCUACUAAUUACAACUCUUUAAACCUCUUGCCUAUUCACAGAACAAACCAAAUAAAUUACCGACCGUCCCUAGAGCAAGUGGCAAAGGGUUUGAUGGUUGGUACCCGAAACCCAAGUUCGAAUUCUAGUUGAUUCACAUUUCUAGCUAAGUUUAUUUUUAAAUAAAAUAAACGAAGCGGGUAGCGUGCUACUUAUUUCUCAAAAAAAAAAAAAAA
rnacentral:lncRNA from 1 species